UGCAGGGAAGUAUCUCAGUCAGUAGAGCAUGAGACUCUUAAUCUCAGGGUCAUGGGUCUAAGCCCCACAUUUGGGCAA